ACGGAUCUAGCCUCCUCUAGUCUAAAAACACCAAGAACAGGCACCAAACACCACCAAACAACCUUUUAGAGACCCUCAGGAACUUUUAGAAACCUUUACAACUCUUUCACUCUCUGGAAAUGUUAAAAAGCGGCUGAAAGAACAAAACUCGACUUCUCCUCCUUUUAAAACACGACCUAGGGUUAACCAACCCAACCCCAAUUGAUUUCGCAAUUAAAAUCAAACCGGUCUAACCAAAAAAUGUUGGUGUCGGUCGACACCACCCAUUUCAGAACACGGGUGUUACAU
rnacentral:lncRNA from 1 species